GACGAACGCUGGCGGCGUGCUUAAUACAUGCAAGUCGAGCGGACGGGCGCUGCUCUUGUGGGGUGCUCGUGUGGCGAACGGGUGAGUAACACGCGAGUAACCUCCCCUUGACUGUGUGAUAACUCCAGGAGACUGGGGCUCAUACAGGAUAGAAGCUCCUGCUCCACGUGGGUGGUUGGAGAAUUUCGGCGGUGGGGGCUGGACUCGCGGCUUAUCAGCUGCUUGGGCGGGUAGGUGCUGACCAAGCCUUUGACGGGUAGCCGGCCUGAGAGGGUGACCGGCGACAUUGGGCCUGCGGUAGGGCCCAGUCGCCUACGGGCGGCAGCAGUGGGGAGUAUUGCGCAAUGGGCCGAAGUCUGAUACAGCAACCCCGCGUGCGGGAUGCUGGGCUACGGGUUGUAAACAUCUUUCGCCGGUGACGAAGCGUGAGUGACGGUAAUGGGUAAGGAAGCACCGGCUAACUACGUG
rnacentral:rRNA from 1 species